rnacentral:rRNA from 1 species
UACGUAGGGGCCUAGCGUUGUCCGGAUUUAUUGGGCGUAAAGAGCUCGUAGGCGGUUCGGCAAGUCGGAUGUGAAAUCUCCACGCUCAACGUGGAGGGGCCAUUCGAAACUGCCGUGACUCGAGUCCGGUAGGGGAGUGUGGAAUUCCCGGUGUAGCGGUGAAAUGCGCAGAUAUCGGGAGGAACACCGGUGGCGAAGGCGGCAUCCUGGACCGGUAUUGACGCUGAGGCGCGAAAGCUAGGGGAGCAAACGGG